rnacentral:rRNA from 1 species
GAUGAACGCUGGCGGCGUGCCUAACACAUGCAAGUCGAACGAAGUGUAUAUAGGAAGUCUUCGGAUGGAAUAUGUAUAACUUAGUGGCGGACGGGUGAGUAACGCGUAAGUAAUCAACCUGUGACACACGGAUAACUGAUAGAAAUGUCAGCUAAUACGAGAUGAACUGUUUUAAAUUGGGAAAUGGAAACAGCAAAGCGAAAGCGGUCACAGACGAGCUUGCGUCUGAUUAGCUAGUUGGUGGGGUAAGAGCCUACCAAGGCGACGAUCAGUAGCCGGCCUGAGAGGGUGAACGGCCACAUUGGAACUGAGACACGGUCCAAACUUCUACGGGAGGCAGCAGUGGGGGAUAUUGCACAAUGGGGGGAACCCUGAUGCAGCAACGCCGCGUGAGUGAAGAAAGCCCUAGGGCCGUAAAGCUCUGUCGUAUGGGAAGAAACAAAUGACUUACCAUAC